CUACUGGGGCAAUGUCAACCCUAAUGGUGUACGAAGUUGCUAUGAUGAGGGGAAGCGUAUGGCUGAGACUCUGAUGUUUGACUAUCAUAGGCAACAUGGCAUAGAAAUACGCGUUGCAAGAAUCUUCAACACAUAUGGACCACGCAUGAAUAUUGAUGAUGGCCGUGUUGUUAGCAACUUCAUUGCUCAAGCAAUUUGGAUUUUACCUGUUGCUAUGCAAGGCAUUUAUUCUUGAGUCAUACUCUUGACCUUUUCAAUCUUAAAGGGCUUUCCUCUUUUUCCUCCUGGUUUAAGUUGCUUUAGUUUCUGAUAUUAUAUCAUUUAGGUUCAAGGACUGAUUAAUACCUUUGGGGAUCUCCGAGGAGCUUUUGCGGCCGUUGAUAGGAUCAACUCUAUUUUAUCUGGAGUUCAAGUUGAUGAUUCUCUUGCCUAUGGCUUAAAAAGAGAACUAAGGCAACAGAAAGUAGUGGAUGAUGAGAAAUAUAAAUUAUUCUUCUCUGAUAGUUCAACUGAGAAAAACCAAAUGCAUUACAUGUCGGCACUAAAAACAUCUAGCAAUUUGUUUAGCUUGGCUUGGCUUGGGAAAUAUACAUGCUAAGAGAUUUCUUAUUCCAUAAGAUUUGACUACAUGCUCUUUUAAUUAAAUAUUUAUUUGUGAUGAAUUAUAGUUGAUGUAUCAACACACUUUGAUGUAUGGUUGUUACUUAAUA